rnacentral:rRNA from 1 species
UACAGAGGUCUCAAGCGUUGUUCGGAUUCAUUGGGCGUAAAGGGCGCGUAGGCGGCGGGGUAAGUCGGGUGUGAAAUCUCAGAGCUCAACUCUGAAACUGCACUCGAUACUGCUCUGCUUGAGGACUGGAGAGGAAACUGGAAUUCACGGUGUAGCAGUGAAAUGCGUAGAUAUCGUGAGGAAGACCAGUGGCGAAGGCGGGUCUCUGGACAGUUCCUGACGCUGAGGCGCGAAGGCCAGGGGAGCAAACGGG